rnacentral:rRNA from 1 species
AACGAACGCUGGCGGCAGGCCUAACACAUGCAAGUCGAGCGAACCCUUCGGGGUUAGCGGCGGACGGGUUAGUAACGCGUGGGAAUAUACCCUUUGGUACGGAAUAGCCUCGGGAAACUGAGAGUAAUACCGUAUGUGCCCCUCGGGGGAAAGAUUUAUCGCCAAAGGAUUAGCCCGCGUUGGAUUAGAUAGUUGGUGGGGUAAUGGCCUACCAAGUCUACGAUCCAUAGCUGGUUUGAGAGGAUGAUCAGCAACACUGGGACUGAGACACGGCCCAGACUCCUACGGGAGGCAGCAGUGGGGGAAUCUUAGACAAUGGGCGCAAGCCUGAUCUAGCCAUGCCGCGUGGACGAUGAAGGCCUUAGGGUUGUAAAGUCCUUUCAGAUGGGAAGAUAAUGACGGUACCAUCGAGAAGAAGCCCCGGCUAACUACCGUGCCAGCAGCCGCGGUAAUGUAGACGU